rnacentral:rRNA from 1 species
CUACCAUGCAGUCGACGAAGCCAUUAAUUUCGGUUAAGGGCUUAGUGGCGGACGGGUGAGUAACGCGUGAGGAACCUGCCUUACAGAGGGGGAUAAUGUCUGGAAACGGACACUAAUACCGCAUGAUAUUCCAGCAUCACAUGAUGCAGGGAUCAAAGGAGCAAUCCGCUGUAAGAUGGACUCGCGUCCGAUUAGCUAGAUGGUGAGAUAAAAGCCCACCAUGGCGACGAUCGGUAGCCGGACUGAGAGGUUGAACGGCCACAUUGGGACUGAGACACGGCCCAGACUCCUACGGGAGGCAGCAGUGGGGGAUAUUGCACAAUGGAGGAAACUCUGAUGCAGCAACGCCGCGUGAAGGAAGACGGUCUUCGGAUUGUAAACUUUUGUACUCAGGGACGAUAAUGACGGUACCUGAGCAGCAAGCUCCGGCUAACUACGUGCCAGCAGCCGCGGUAAUACGUAGGGAGCGAGCGUUGUCCGGAUUUACUGGGUGUAAAGGGUGCGUAGGCGGCAGGACAAGUCAGCUGUGAAAACUAUGGGCUUAACCCAUAGCCUGCAGUUGAAACUGUUCUGCUUGAGUGAAGUAGAGGUAGGUGGAAUUCCCGGUGUAGCGGUGAAAUGCGUAGAGAUCGGGAGGAACACCAGUGGCGAAGGCGGCCUACUGGGCUUUAACUGACGCUGAGGCACGAAAGCAUGGGUAGCAAACAGGAUUAGAUACCCUGGUAGUCCAUGCUGUAAACGA